UGGUGCAAUGCGAAUGUACGGCGUGGUGAGUUGGGUGACGAUUAUAGCAGCUUUUCAUCCAGGAAGGCAUGCAGACAGACAGACAGACAGGACAGAUGGAGGGAGAGAGAAACAGGCUGAUUGGGUGAGACAGACGGACAGACACACAGACAGACAGACACAGAUACACACACAG